rnacentral:misc_RNA from 1 species
AAAAAUAAAAAUAAAAAAGAAGAAUAAGAAAGAAAGCUUUGCAGGCCUGUGUGAUUUGAAGAUCAAAGCACAUAAAGCAAUGUAAAAACUUUUGGAAGCACAGAAAAAAUAACAGGAAUAAGAGUGUAGGGACAACGAGGAGGAGGAAAGAGUUCACUAAACAAAUUCCUCUUCGUUCAUAGUUUGUGUUUGCCCACUAUUUGCUUACUAGUUAUGGUUUUGGUGUAUUUUAGGGCAGGGCCAUGACUCUCUUUGCCAACAAUAUUACAA